AGCGAACGCUGGCGGCAGGCUUAACACAUGCAAGUCGAGCGGAGAUGAGGUGCUUGCACCUUAUCUUAGCGGCGGACGGGUGAGUAAUGCUUAGGAAUCUGCCUAUUAGUGGGGGACAACAUUCCGAAAGGAAUGCUAAUACCGCAUACGCCCUACGGGGGAAAGCAGGGGAUCUUCGGACCUUGCGCUAAUAGAUGAGCCUAAGUCGGAUUAGCUAGUUGGUGGGGUAAAGGCCUACCGAGGCGACAAUCUGUAGCGGGUCUGAGAGGAUGAUCCGCCACACUGGGACUGAGACACGGCCCAGACUCCUACGGGAGGCAGCAGUGGGGAAUAUUGGACAAUGGGCGGAAGCCUGAUCCAGCCAUGCCGCGUGUGUGAAGAAGGCCUUUUGGUUGUAAAGCACUUUAAGCGAGGAGGAGGCUACCUGGAUUAAUACUCUAGGAUAGUGGACGUUACUCGCAGAAUAAGCACCGGCUAACUCUGUGCCAGCAGCCGCAGUAAUAC
rnacentral:rRNA from 1 species